AAUAAAUUUUAUUUAGAUUUUUAUCUAGACUUUUAAUGCCCUAGGCUCAGAAUUUUUCAGCCACCCCUCGUAUCCUGUAGUUUUUGCUUAAUAAAUA